UACGAAGGGAGCUAGCGUUGUUCGGAAUCACUGGGCGUAAAGCGCACGUAGGCGGAUUUGUUAGUCAGGGGUGAAAUCCCGGGGCUCAACCUCGGAACUGCCUUUGAUACUGCAGAUCUAGAGUCCGAUAGAGGUGGGUGGAAUUCCUAGUGUAGAGGUGAAAUUCGUAGAUAUUAGGAAGAACACCGGUGGCGAAGGCGGCCCACUGGAUCGGUACUGACGCUGAGGUGCGAAAGCGUGGGGAGCAAAC
rnacentral:rRNA from 1 species